UUGCUCCGAUUUGCGAGUGAAAGGGAAGAGAGUGAGGUAUUAGAGAGAGUCUUAAGGAUCCUCUUUUCUACGUUUAUACAUGUUGUAGUUUACUGGGUUUGCUCGUUUAAUUUUAUUGGAAUUUAUGAGUGAGUAGGGUUUUGUUUUUGUGGGGCUUUUUUGAUGAUGAUGAUGACCUACCUAGCUAUGGCUUCCCCAAUCUCUCUCAGAUCUCUCUUGCUCCCCCACCUCAUCAUCCAUAUAUACCUCUUCUCCGAUUCUGCCCCUUCACUCUUCCCUCUCCACCAUCUCUCUCUCUCUCUCUCUCUCUCUCUCUCUCUCUCUCUCUUAGAUCUCUCUAACUUCUCCUUCUCCUUCUCCAUCUUCUUCUGAUCUUCUUGGGUGAUCUGAUGAUGAUGAAGGUGGUAGAGAGAGAUAUGUAUAUGUUAGUUAACAUGUAGCUAUAGGUUUCUUUCAUGGUCUUCGUCAAACUCCUCCUCCUACCUCAUCAGCACCCAUCGUGUUAUUCUUGAUUCUUAUUUUCUCCGAGAGAUUAUUCUUAUUUCUCUGCAACAAAACAACAUGAACUUGCAUCUCAUAAGGUUAUUAUGCUGUUCUUUUAGCAGCACCCUGUAAUUAACAUGUCCCAGCCGUAGCUUUCAUUUCGUCUUCUGUCGCAUUCCUUCUUCAUCGAGAGGAAGAUUAGGCAGCUUUAAUUUCGUGUUGGCGCAAGAUAAUUAGAUUACACAAACACAGACACAGAGAAAAGACACACACAUAUGCAUGUGAGAUUAUGAGUAUGUGCCUGGCUCCCUGUAUGCCAUUUGCAGAGCCCACCGGAGAAUCGAUGGCCUCCGUGGAUGGCGUAUGAGGAGCCAAGCAUAUUCCAUGUACAUACAUGGAUAAGAUAAUAUAUAAUAUAAAGAUCGAAUUUCCAUAUUUAGUUGUAUUGGUGUUUGUUUCUGUUAUUUUUCAUUAUGAUUUUAUUAAUUAAUCAUAUGUUGAGAGAUUCUAAUUAAUACUAAUUACUAUGGAGGUCAUAAGGGUAAUAUACACAUAUAUAGGGUUAGGUCUUGUUAUAAUUCCAACCACAAAGCAAGCACGGCAUUGUCAUUUUCAAAGUCACAGCGAUCUGCUUCCUCAGGACUGAGCAUAAAGAAAUCGGUGGCCACUUUAUCUCCUGGGCUACAUACACGACUACAUAAUACUAUGGAUUAUGGAUUGUAAGUAUAAUUAAGUUGUUUAAUCCAGAUUCCUUUAGGAAACUUGAAUGUACGUGAUAUAUUUACUACACUGAAACAUGUUUUCUGGGUGCAUGUCUUCGUGUCCGAUUGUUAACAAUGUAUGUGUUAAUUAAGGAAAACCUAUAAAUCAGAGAGAAACAAAUUAAGUGUUAAGCAUCAA